ACCAAAUUUUUUUAAAUCAAUAUCAAAAGUAAAGCUAAAUAUUUCUAAAAAAUUAUAAAAGUAAAAAUAUAAUUAAAAGCAAAUUUUUUAUUUUUCAACAAAACAUAACAAAAAAAUAGUUUAAUUCUUUCAAUUUGUAAAAAAAAAAAGAAACAUAAAACAAAUAAGAAGUUAAAGAUCAACAUGCAAAAGAAAUCAACGAAAAUAUCAACCAAAGAAUAACGCAAGAAUAAAAAUAAGAGAGCAAACAAAAAGAAAAUUAAACUGGUGUGGUGAAUUUCUUCAAAAGACGUAAACGAAAAUAAAAUAAAACAAACGUCAAAAUAAACGAAAAUAAAAUAAAACAAACGUCAAAAUAAACGAAAAUAAAAUAAAACAAACGAAAAAAUAAAACAAAGAUCAAAAAUAAACAAACAAAAUAACAAUCGCACAGAUCGUAAACGUUUUUCUUUUAAAAAAUCAAAUACAAUUAAUUAAAUUAAAUCAACGUAAGAAUAAAAGCAACUAAGUUCAACCUAUAAUCAUCGAAGACAUCAACAACGCAGACGCGACCCUGACGUGUACCAGUGCCGACUCUGCAAGAAUUUCCAUUCAAUCCGUUUCUGCCGGCGGUUUUUAAAUAUGGAUGUCCGUACUAGGCACUAUGUUGUCAGCAAGCAUAAGUACUGCGUCAACUGCUUGGCCAAGAGCCAUGUCCUGCGGGACUGUCCAUCAAGGGACACAUGUCAGCGAUGCGGCAAUUAUCACCAUACGCUGCUCCAUCCGGGAAUUCGUAGCCGAUUAGAAAAAAAGAAACCAAAACGUGGAGACCCAAGACGUUCACCACCACGUAAUCAUCAUCGUCGUCCGCCGUCAACAUCACAUCAUCACGUACAACCAUCUAAUUCAUCCGUACCAAACCAACGCAUCAUUUCAGAAGCCAUACGUUCCUUGGCCCAGGUGCUUUGCGUCCAACCAACAACUCCUCCACCUGGUGGCCGGAAUGUAUAAAAUCCUAUGAUUUUAUAAAAAUAAAAUAAAUCAUACAAAAUGAUUUUUUUAUAUAGUUUCAAUUUUUAACGUAUUUUGAAUUUGUAACGUAAAUUGAAUUUGUAUAUUAAUAAUAACAAAAUGAAUUGUACCUAAAGUAGUCACUUAAGUACUUGUAAAAUAAUCACUAAGAACUGUUAUUGUGAAUUAUUAACAUUCGAAGAUACAAAUUGUAGUAAAAAAUAAGCCUAGCUAUUUCUUUUAUACAAUAUUGUUAACUCACUUCUUUUGCAACCUUCAGCUAGAAAACAUUUCUAUUUUUUUUACCUAAAAACUUAAACCUAAAAUCUAAUUUGUAUUAAAUUAUAUUUAUAUAAUUUAACUUAAAAUCGAAUUUGCUAAAACUUACACCUACAUAAUUAAAAUCUUAUUCCUAAAUUUAAAACUAAUUGAUUUAACUUAAAUGAAAAUUUAAACCUAAAUAAAAAUUGUACAUUUGAAUUUGAAAAGAAAAAUUAUAAAA